CUGCCCAAGAGACUGGGAUAACACCUGGAAACAGAUGCUAAUACCGGAUAACAACACUAGACGCAUGUCUAGAGUUUGAAAGAUGGUUCUGCUAUCACUCUUGGAUGGACCUGCGGUGCAUUAGCUAGUUGGUAAGGUAACGGCUUACCAAGGCAAUGAUGCAUAGCCGAGUUGAGAGACUGAUCGGCCACAUUGGGACUGAGACACGGCCCAAACUCCUACGGGAGGCAGCAGUAGGGAAUCUUCCACAAUGGACGAAAGUCUGAUGGAGCAACGCCGCGUGAGUGAAGAAGGGUUUCGGCUCGUAAAGCUCUGUUGGUAGUGAAGAAAGAUAGAGGUAGUAACUGGCCUUUAUUUGACGGUAAUUACUUAGAAAGUCACGGCUAACUACGUGCCAGCAGCCGCGGUAAUACGUAGGUGGCAAGCGUUGUCCGGAUUUAUUGGGCGUAAAGCGAGUGCAGGCGGUUCAAUAAGUCUGAUGUGAAAGCCUUCGGCUCAACCGGAGAAUUGCAUCAGAAACUGUUGAACUUGAGUGCAGAAGAGGAGAGUGGAACUCCAUGUGUAGCGGUGGAAUGCGUAGAUAUAUGGAAGAACACCAGUGGCGAAGGCGGCUCUCUGGUCUGCAACUGACACUGAGGCUCGAAAGCAUGGGUAGCGAACAGGAUUAGAUACCCUGGUAGUCCAUGCCGUAAAC
rnacentral:rRNA from 1 species